rnacentral:rRNA from 1 species
GACGAACGCUGGCGGCGUGCUUAACACAUGCAAGUCGAACGCUGAAGCUCGGCUUGCUGGGUGGAUGAGUGGCGAACGGGUGAGUAACACGUGAGUAACCUGCCCUCUUCUUUGGGAUAACGCCCGGAAACGGGUGCUAAUACUGGAUAUUCACUGAUUCUCGCAUGGGGGUUGGUGGAAAGGUUUUUUCUGGUGGGGGAUGGGCUCGCGGCCUAUCAGCUUGUUGGUGGGGUGAUGGCCUACCAAGGCUUUGACGGGUAGCCGGCCUGAGAGGGUGACCGGUCACAUUGGGACUGAGAUACGGCCCAGACUCCUACGGGAGGCAGCAGUGGGGAAUAUUGCACAAUGGGCGAAAGCCUGAUGCAGCGACGCCGCGUGAGGGAUGGAGGCCUUCGGGUUGGAAACCUCUUUCGCUCAUGGUCAAGCCGCAGCGUUGGGUUGUGGUGAGGGUAGUGGGUAAAGAAGCGCCGGCUAACUACGUG